AGUGAACGCUGGCGGUAGGCCUAACACAUGCAAGUCGAACGGCAGCACAGUAAGAGCUUGCUCUUACGGGUGGCGAGUGGCGGACGGGUGAGGAAUACAUCGGAAUCUACUUUUUCGUGGGGGAUAACGUAGGGAAACUUACGCUAAUACCGCAUACGACCUACGGGUGAAAGCAGGGGAUCUUCGGACCUUGUGCGAUUGCAUGAGCCGAUGUCGGAUUAGCUAGUUGGGGGGGUAAAGGCCCACGAAGGCGACGAUCCGUAGCUGGUGUGAGAGAAGGGUCGGCCACACUGGAACUGAGACACGGUCCAGACUCCUACGGGAGGCAGCAGUGGGGAAUAUUGGACAAUGGGCGCAAGCCUGAUCCAGCCAUACCGCGUGGGUGAAGAAGGCCUUCGGGUUGUAAAGCCCUUUUGUUGGGAAAGAAAAGCAGCAGGUUAAUACCCCGCUGUUCUGACGGUACCCAAAGAAUAAGCACCGGCUAACUUCGUG
rnacentral:rRNA from 1 species